UGCCUCCCAGCUCCCGCCCCUUGUUCUGCUCCGCAGCAAAGACACCGACUAGUGCGCUUGCGUUGUGACCUAGACUAGGCGCCUGCGCUGCGUGGCACUGGCUGGACUGGAAGUCAUGGCGUGGGUACCGGUGGAGUCUGCUGUGGAAGAGCUUAUGCCCCGUCUCUUGCCAGUGGAGCCCUGCGACUUGACGGAAUGUUUUGAUCCCUCCGUACCCCCUAGGACGCCUCAGGAGUACCUGAGGCGCGUCCAACUCGAAGCAGCCCAAUGUCCAGAUGUUGUGGUAGCUCAAAUUGACCCAAAGAAGUUGAAAAGGAGGCAAACUGUGAAUGUUUCUCUCUCAGGAUGCCAACCUGCUCCUGAAGGAUAUUCCCCAACACUUCAGUGGCAACAGCAACAAGUAGCACAGUUUUCAGCUAUUCGACAGAGUGUGAACAAGCAUAGAAGUCACUGGAAGUCACAACAGUUGGAUAGUAAUGUGAUCAUGCCAAAAUCUGAGGAUGAAGACGGCUGGAAAAAAUUUUGUCUGGGUGAAAGGUUAUGUUCUGAAGGGAUUGUUGGACCAGCUACAAAUGAAAGUCCAGGAAUUGAUUAUGUACAGAUUGGCUUUCCUCCCUUGCUUAGUAUUGUUAGCCGAAUGAAUCAGGCAACAGUAACUAGUGUCUUGGAAUACUUGAGUAAUUGGUUUGGAGAAAGAGACUUUACACCAGAAUUGGUAGUAUUGCAUCUUUUUAUUUUCAUAAUGCAGGCAAAAUUAUAUAUACUUAUAUGUAAGAUGUUUCUUUAUGUGCAUAUAUAAGUAUAUAUAUGUAUGUAUAUAUGUAUUCAUAACUAUGCUUGUUUGCAGUGAAGUAAGGAGCUUACAUCAGUAUAAAUCAAUGUCCUACCUCCUUCAUUGAGGAAGUCUUGCUUUGGGGGAAAAGAUGUCAACUGAACUAAAGAGUUGAUUUAUAUCCUGAUACGUGUUCUUUAUCUUAGCUCAGUUCAGCAACAAGCAGGUCAUAAACUUGCAACCAGUCUGCAAACCCCACUUUGAGCAGUGGCUUAAAGCAAAUUUGAAAUGCAUUUUCAAGAAUGGCCUUGAAAUCCAGUCCAAAUAAGGACUUGACAGCACCUAACAACAACAUGUCAGCCAUUGCUCUAAAGAUUGUAUAUAAUAACUCAUUGUAUCCUCCAACAACCAAUGAAUGUUAUUAUCUCCAUUUUACAGAUAAGGAAACUGAAAUACUGAGAGGUUAAGUAACUUGCUGAAGGUCACACAGCUAGUAACUGAGACUCAAGCCCAGACAUUCUGGCUCUAAUUGCUGUCCAGAAGAAAUGAACCAGUUUAUAAUGCCAGCAGCAAUGGAUACUUAAAUUUAUUUCUCUUCUCUAUAACCCACUGUAAGUGGAACCAUAUGAAAUUGUUGUUUUGUAGGUUAAUGUUUAUCAGCAAUUCCAUGUGGUUCAAUCUAACAUUAUUUUAUGAUUUGUGAUGAUUUUUCAAAUCUAUUGUAGUACUUCAAAGUAAAUGUAGUUUGUAUUUUUUUCAAUACUAAUGAAACAGUAUUUUCCCCAUUCAUUGGUAUGUUAGCUACACCUUCCAUUGAUAACUUUGUUUAUAUUCUAAGGCUAUUUGUUCAUUGGAAUCUAGAUAUUGAAGUUAAAAUUUUAUAUCAGUUCUUUGUGUCUGAUUGUGACAUCCUGAGUGUUCAACGAUAGGAUGUUGGUUAAGUAAAUCAUGGUGUAUCACAAUGGAGCAUUGUAUCAUUUAAAAAUCAUGUUUAUGCAUUCAUUCCACAAAUAUUUUUAAUUAACUUCUGUCAUGUUCCAGGUCUAGGCUAAGGUCCUGGGGAUAUAAUAACUAUCGUUAUACUCUCACAGAGUUUAGGAGGAAAAAAGAAUAAAAGUAUGAUAAGUGUUUGUUUAAGUGCAGUGUUGAAAAUAUUUAAUAAAAUUCCCUUUUAAUCCCAUUUAACAUGAGAAAAUGUUCAUUAUGUGUACUGUAUGUAAAAAAGAUGGCCACAGAAUGGUAUUACAGUGAUGAAACGAUUGAGAAAAAUUGUACAUAUGCAUAGAAAAAAAUGAACAUAUUAAAAUGUUUGCAGAAAUUUUAUCUGGGAAGUAGAAUUACAGCUUUGUUUUUUCUUUGUACUUUUUGUAUUCACAGUUUUUCUGCAUAGAGUAUAUAUUACUUUUAUAAUUAAAAAGAAAAAUCUAUUUAAAAAAACAGGAGGGUAGAUAAAUUUAUUCUGCCAUAGACCUUCAAAACAUUAUUUCAUCUUUAGUCCCUUUGUAGGGACACAGAGGAUAAAGUUAUGAUUUGUCUCUAGUGGACAAAGUAAAAACAUAACGUAAUUUUUGCAAGGAUUUAUAAACAUCUUAAUGUAGUUUUUAGUAUGAAUUAGGAGUUCAGUUGUAGUAAGCAUCUCUGAAACAAAUUGAGUAUUAGGGAAUAUUUGGAAGUAUCCAAUGUGCUGUAUAGUUACAAGAUAGAAGAGAUAGCAUCUGGCUGUACAGAUUACCCUUUGUUAUCUAUGUCCAAACAAAAUAUAGUUAAAUAUUCUAUGAAUUCAUUCAUAGCAGAUAACCAGGAACAACAUUAAACAUUCUUAAAAAAUAAGUUAAGCUUAUGGUUCAGUAUUUGCCUACUUAACUACUUUUUAAAAAAUUCUAUUUAGGGAAGAUGGCUUUAUGCUUUGUUGGCUUGUCUUGAAAAACCCUUAUUACCUGAGGCUCAUUCACUGAUUCGGCAGCUUGCAAGAAGGUGCUCUGAAGUGAGGCUCUUAGUGGACAGCAAAGAUGAUGAGAGAGUCCCUGCUUUGAAU